GACAGAGGGUGCAAACGUUUGUUCGGAAUUACUGGGCGUAAAGCGUGUGUAGGCGGCCACGUAAGUCGGAUGUGAAAGCCCCCAGGCUCAACCUGGGAAGUGCACUCGAUACUGCGUGGCUUGAGUAUCGGAGAGGUUGGUGGAAUUCUCGGUGUAGAGGUGAAAUUCGUAGAUAUCGAGAGGAACACCGGUGGCGAAGGCGGCCAACUGGACGAAUACUGACGCUGAGACACGAAAGCGUGGGGAGCAAACAGG
rnacentral:rRNA from 1 species